GAUUACUAUUAUUAUAACUAAUAGUGUUAUUAAUUAAUGUACUUAUACUAGUUCCGCCCCGGAAUCAAGUUUCCUGCACCAUGAUGAUUGUUCUUACGUCGAAUUACAUUUCUCACACUGCAGCAAACUCAAAUAAAGGAAUAGGAAAUCGGUUUUUGUCGUAUUGCAUACCUGACUUUUAAACAUAGGCUUUUGAUUCUGUAAAUUAAUAAAGACAAAUUUUCCUUAUAUUUUUGCUC